rnacentral:rRNA from 1 species
GACGAACGCUGGCGGCGUGCUUAACACAUGCAAGUCGAACGGAAAGGCCCUGCUUUUGUGGGGUGCUCGAGUGGCGAACGGGUGAGUAACACGUGAGUAACCUGCCCUUGACUUUGGGAUAACUUCAGGAAACUGGGGCUAAUACCGGAUAGGAGCUCCUGCUGCAUGGUGGGGGUUGGAAAGUUUCGGCGGUUGGGGAUGGACUCGCGGCUUAUCAGCUUGUUUGUGGGGUAGUGGCUUACCAAGGCUUUGACGGGUAGCCGGCCUGGGAGGGUGACCGGCCACAUUGGGACUGCGCUACCGCCCAGCCUCCUUCGGGAGGCAGCAGUGGGGAAUAUUGCACAGUGGGCGGAAGCCUGAUGCAGCAACGCCGCGUUCGGGAUGACGGCCUUCGGGUUGUAAACCGCUUUCGCCUGUGACGAAGCGUUAGUGACGGUAAUGGGUAAAGAAGCACCGGCUAACUACGUG